CGGCUGCGUUUUAUCAAUUUUCUUUGGACAAGUAUGCGAGCACGAAGACACAAAUGAGGUUUGUGUUCUUGUAGACAACUCAGAGAUGAAAUUCUCCGACAUUCUGCAACGAUUCGUGGGCCCAAAGAAUGAAAAGUGGAUUGGAAAGCCCAAGCUAUUUAUUAUCAUCGAUCAAAGUGCAACAGGAACCGAUGACGGACUACCACCGAAUCACAACCCGGUAAUAUCUGCCACCUAUCAUAGUGGAUGGCUCGUUCUGGUUUUGCAUGACAAAGAAAGCCUCGAAAAGCUGAUCAACAUCCUCAUGGACCAAAAUCUGAAAAGGGGGAAAAGCCUACAAGAAGAGCUCGAAACUUUGCUCAUUUCUGGGACAAAGAGCAACAAAAAUUUGCUAUGCUCAACGCUGCAGUUUCUUUUAAGUUUUCCAGACCAACCUAAGUCUUUUGUCAAACUUCAUUUUUCAGUGCAGGAAUCUAACAAAG